GAAGAAGGAAUUGCUGAGGCUUGUGAAUGCAAUUCCUGAUGGGGAAGAUUUUAGCUUGGAGAUUGCUGAUGAGGUUUUAAGGAUUUUGACUGCUUUGAAUGAAUUGAAAUUUGAGAAGUCAUCGGAUUCUUUGAAGCUGGUUGAUGAUAAGGAUACGGUUGUUCCUGAUGAAUUUAAAUGUCCCAUUUCAGGAGACCUCAUGGUUGACCCUGUCAUCUUGGCUACUGGGCAGACUUAUGAUCGGCCAUUCAUCCUGCAAUGGCUAAAUGAUGGGCACCGGAUAUGUCCUCAAACUCAGCAAGUACUCUACCAUACUAUGCUUAUCCCUAAUCACUUGGUGCGAGAAAUGAUUUCACACUGGUGCAAGAAGCAUGGAAUUGAGCUCCUCAAGCCUGUUGAGGGUGUUGGGGACAAUUCAGUUGCUUAUGCAGACAGAGGCUACUUGGAUUCGCUGCUUGAAAAGAUGUCCUCUUCCCUUUCUGAUCAAAAAGAAGCUGCAAAAGAGCUUCGGCUGCUAACUAAAAGGAUGCCAUCAUUUCGGGCCCUUUUUGGUGAGUCCACUGAUGCCAUUUUCCAAUUACUCAAUCCACUUUCACCUGGUAGAGCCGAUUCUCAUCCUGAUCUCCAAGAGGAUUUGAUUACUACAAUUUUGAACCUCUCCAUUCAUGAUAAUAACAAGCGAUUAGUUGCAGAAAAUCCACUUGUCAUUCCUUUGCUUAUUGAAUCUCUGAAAACGGGAACUAUAGAAACAAGAAGUAAUGCUGCUGCAGCUCUCUUUACCCUAUCAGCUCCUGAUUCAAACAAGAUUCUUAUUGGGAAAUCAGGUGCUCUCACACCUUUGCUUGAACUUUUAGAGGAAGGGAACCAAUUAGCCAUGAAGGAUGCUGCAUCUGCAAUAUUCAGCCUAUGCGUUGUUCCCGAGAAUAAAGCGAGAGCAGUCCGUGAAGGGGCAGUUAGGGUGAUCCUGAAAAAGAUAAUGAAUGGCAUAUUUGUUGAUGAGUUGUUGGCUAUUCUUGCUAUGCUUGCUAACCAUCCAAAGGCUGUUGAGGAAAUGGGGGAGCUAGGUGCUGUGGGUUGCUUGCUCAGAAUUAUCAGGG
rnacentral:misc_RNA from 1 species